rnacentral:rRNA from 1 species
GACGUAGGGCGCGAGCGUUGUCCGGAUUUAUUGGGCGUAAAGAGCUCGUAGGCGGCUUGUCGCGUCGACCGUGAAAACUUGGGGCUCAACCCCAAGCCUGCGGUCGAUACGGGCAUGACUGGAGUUCGGCAGGGGAGACUGGAAUUCCUGGUGUAGCGGUGAAAUGCGCAGAUAUCAGGAGGAACACCGGUGGCGAAGGCGGGUCUCUGGGCCGAUACUGACGCUGAGGAGCGAAAGCGUGGGGAGCGAACAGG